rnacentral:rRNA from 1 species
GACCUGAUGCAGCCAUGCCGCGUGUGUGAAGAAGGCCUUCGGGUUGUAAAGCACUUUCAGUUGUGAGGAAAAGUUAGUAGUUAAUACCUGCUAGCCGUGACGUUAACAACAGAAGAAGCACCGGCUAACUCCGUGCCAGCAGCCGCGGUAAUACGGAGGGUGCGAGCGUUAAUCGGAAUUACUGGGCGUAAAGCGCACGCAGGCGGUUUGUUAAGCUAGAUGUGAAAGCCCCGGGCUCAACCUGGGAUGGUCAUUUAGAACUGGCAGACUAGAGUCUUGGAGAGGGGAGUGGAAUUCCAGGUGUAGCGGUGAAAUGCGUAGAUAUCUGGAGGAACAUCAGUGGCGAAGGCGACUCCCUGGCCAAAGACUGACGCUCAUGUGCGAAAGUGUGGGUAGCGAACAGGAUUAGAUACCCUGGUAGUCCACACCGUAAACGCUGUCUACUAGCUGUUUGUGACUUUAAGUCGUGAGUAGCGAAGCUAACGCGCUAAGUAGACCGCCUGGGGAGUACGGCCGCAAGGUUAAAACUCAAA